rnacentral:misc_RNA from 1 species
UUUCCGUAGGUGAACCUGCGGAAGGAUCAUUACUGAGUGAGGGCCCUCUGGGUCCAACCUCCCACCCGUGUUUAUUAUACCUUGUUGCUUCGGUGAGCCCGCCUCACGGCCGCCGGGGGGCAUCUGCCCCCGGGCCCGCGCCCACGGAAGACACCUAGAACUCUGUAUGAAGAUUGCAGUCUGAGCAAAAACUAAAUAAGUUAAAACUUUCAACAACGGAUCUCUUGGUUCCG